UGUGGGAUGCUUACUGACGUACUCAAAACCUAAAACCAAUUUGCUUUCAAACUCCUAGUUUUCGCUUUUUCUUCACAGGUCUCUUUUUACACUAGAUCUGCACUUCGGCAUGCUUGCAUAAAUUCCUCUUGCUGCCAGAGCUCGCCUGGUUACCUGCUAUCUGUGCUGCUGAGUCUGCUGGUGUAGAUCUGUGCCACCUGCUCACCGUAAGCCUUCUGACAAGCCCUGGACUUGUUCUCCCUUUGUGGACCAUUUCUGUUCUGCCAGCUGCAUUCACCCUCAAGAGCCAGUGCUUGGCAGUCUGCCUUUGUUCUCUAUGUUUUCUACUGCUCUAAUAAACUGUUUGUUUUCUGGCCA